CGUAGGGUGAACCUGCGGAGGGAUCAUUACACAAAUAUGAAGGCGGGCUGGAAUCUCUCGGGGUUACAGCCUUGCUGAAUUAUUCACCCUUGUCUUUUGCGUACUUCUUGUUUCCUUGGUGGGUUCGCCCACCACUAGGACAAACAUAAACCUUUUGUAAUUGCAAUCAGCGUCAGUAACAAAUUAAUAAUUACAACUUUCAACAACGGAUCUCUUGGUUCUGGCAUCGAUGAAGAACGCAGCGAAAUGCGAUAAGUAGUGUGAAUUGCAGAAUUCAGUGAAUCAUCGAAUCUUUGAACGCACAUUGCGCCCUUUGGUAUUCCAAAGGGCAUGCCUGUUCGAGCGUCAUUUGUACCCUCAAGCUUUGCUUGGUGUUGGGCGUCUUGUCUCUAGCUUUGCUGGAGACUCGCCUUAAAGUAAUUGGCAGCCGGCCUACUGGUUUCGGAGCGCAGCACAAGUCGCACUCUCUAUCAGCAAAGGUCUAGCAUCCAUUAAGCCUUUUUUCAACUUUUGACCUCGGAUCAGGUAGGGAUACCCGCUGAACUUAAGCAUAUCAAUAAGCGGAGGA
rnacentral:rRNA from 1 species